rnacentral:rRNA from 1 species
CUAUUUAUGUCGGCGACCGGCGCACGGGUGAGUAACGCGUAUCCAACCUACCCAUAACUAAAGGGAUAAACCCAAGCGAAAGUUGGACUAAUACCUUAUGUAUUCGUUUGACCUCAUGAGAUUACGAAUAAAGAUUUAUCGGUUAUGGAUGGGGAUGCGUCUGAUUAGCUUGUUGGCGGGGUAACGGCCCACCAAGGCAACGAUCAGUAGGGGUUCUGAGAGGAAGGUCCCCCACAUUGGAACUGAGACACGGUCCAAACUCCUACGGGAGGCAGCAGGG